UGCGUAGGCGGGCUAAUAAGUCAGUGGUGAAAUCUCUCGGCUCAACCGGGAAACAGCCAUUGAUACUGUUAGUCUUGAGUUCGGUUGAGGUAGGCGGAAUGUGUAAUGUAGCGGUGAAAUGCUUAGAUAUUACACAGAACACCAAUUGCGUAGGCAGCUUACUAGACCGACACUGACGCUGAGGCACGAAAGCGUGGGGAGCGAACAGGAUUAGAUACCCUGGUAGUCC
rnacentral:rRNA from 1 species